GUUUUUAUCUGUUGUUCUUGCAUUUUAAGCAUGGUUUCUUGAAUGGUCAUUAACGAAGCCUGUAUUGUUUGCAUAUUGGCUACAGUUUGUUUUUCUGCCCCUGACAUUCCUUCAAUUGCCUUUUGAUGGGCAGGUGAUGUAAUUGUCAAUGUUGGACUAGAUGUUGUCUUUUUUUCCAUUCUCCAGGCUGAUGUCAUGGCACUUGUCUUAUUUUCAAGCUCUAUUUAUUUCUACCUAUUUUAUUAUCUCCUUUACAAUAUAUUUUAAACUAAUCUCUUACUUUCAAUUUAUUCCUUCAUUUCAAAUCUCUUUAUUAUAAUUAUAUAGAAUUAGCACCACUUGUUAUCCCUUUCUCUAUCUCAAAGUCAAUAUCACUAUAUAUCUAACAAUAUCCUACUCAGACAAAGCCCUCCUGCCUUUCCUUAUGCUCAAAAUGUAUUCCCCUAGCUAA